rnacentral:rRNA from 1 species
GACGAACCGUGCGAACGUUGUUCGGAAUCACUGGGCUUAAAGGGCGCGUAGGUGGUUUGCCAAGUCGGGGUUGAAAUCUUUCGGCUCAACCGGAAAAGUGGCUUCGAUACUGGCAAGCUGGAGGGAGGUAGGGGCGGAUGGAACUUCCGGUGGAGCGGUGAAAUGUGUUGAUAUCGGAAGGAACGCCGGUGGCGAAAGCGAUCCGCUGGACCUCUUCUGACACUGAGGCGCGAAAGCCAGGGGAGCAAACGGGG